rnacentral:misc_RNA from 1 species
CUUGGGCUACCUGUGUUANAACGAAGGUUGAAGUCGUUCAACAUGGCUGUCAAGCUUGUAGUUUUUGACAUGGCAGGAACAACAGUCGACGACUCAGUUAAUGGACUUCCAUUAGUGGCUGUUGCUAUGCAGGAAGCUUUUAGAAAGCAUGGGCUAGAAGUAAGUAUCGAUAAAGUGAACGAAGUUCGUGGAAUGGAGAAGAAAAAUGCUAUNAAAAAUGUUCUUCAAGCCUUGAGAAAAGAGAGCCAAGGUGAAAGUGUGGCGGCAAAAUUUCAGGACGACGACGCGCCCGUAGAUGCAAUUUUCAAAGACUUUAAAGAAUCACUAAAUACUCACCUCGAGUACAUCGAUAAAGAAAUUCCAGGAACAAGUGAAACGUUUCGAAUAUUGAAAACAAAGGGAAUAAAUAUUUCGGUAGGAAGUGGAUUUCCACACUCAGUAGUAGAAACGAUAGUUAAAAAUCUAGGUUGGGAAGGCAUNAUAGAUUACGUUUCUAGCGCAGAGAAGGAGGGACAUGGAAGGCCUCAUCCGGCAAUGAUUCAUGCAGCAAUGAAAUUCUGCUCAGUUGAAGAUGCACGGUCUGUAGUGAAGGUUGGAGAUACAAAAAUUGACGUCCAGGAAGGAAGGAAUGCUGGAUGUUGGACUGUAGCCGUGCUCACUGGGACGCAGACUGAGGAAAGUCUGAGAGAUUCUAAACCUGAUUUUAUUAUUGCAAGUGUAGCAGAUUUACCUUCUGUUUUAUCUCAAAUUGAGACAAACAUGCACACAGGCAAAGCAGUUAUACCAGCAGACACAAUCAAAACAGACACAAACAAAAGCAGAUACAAUCAACUAACCAGAGCCUUACAAGAAGCCCUAGGAAGUCAGAGAUACACUGGCAAGCAAGAGACGAUCAGCAUUUGGUGUUGUUUAUCGUCAAGUACUGCACAGAUUUCUGGUACUUAUUGGUUCGAGUACCAUUCUUGGUUGCACCGUUAUUCCUGAUGGCCACAAACGUAUCGUGGAAGACGGUUUGGUAGUAUUUGCUGGAUGCAAAGGUGUGAUAACCAGAGCUUUGCAAGACAUUCUUGAAAACUGACUCAUCGUUUGUGACGGUCUGGAAGGAAAAAAAGAUUUUACAUCGAC